UUUUUUUUUUUGUCUUUUUGCCUUUUUCUAGGGCCGCCUCCCACAGCAUGUGGAGGUUCCCAGCCUAGGGGUCUAAUUGGAGCUGUAGUCACCAGCCUACGCCACAGCCACAGCAACACGGGUCUGAGCCGUGUCUGCAAACUACACCACAGCUCACAGCAACGCCGGAUCCUUAACCCACUGAGCAAGGUCUGGGAUCAAACCCACAACUCAUGGUUCCUAGUCGGAACCACUGCGCCAUGACGGGAACUCCCAAAGUCCCACAUUUUAAAUGAUAUUAUCCAAAUGCUAUUGUUCUUAUUUUUAUCUUUAUAUCUCAAAAGCUUCUGAAAGAACUAUAUUAGAAUCUCAUAACAUUAUAGGUUUGUUUGUUUCUUUCUAUAAACUUUCAGUUUUUGCCUUUUUUAAGGAUAUAACAUUGCUCUUAUGUAUAUGACACUUAAAAUGACAUCUCUUAUUGCAUGAUAUGGGUGGGGAGAAACCUGACAUGUCGUCCUAAAAAGGGUUGGCUGGUGGGAAGACAUAAUAACACCAUCACUGGUUUAUUGUACUGAGUAUAUCAUACAUUUUUGAGUUUAUAAAAGAUAUAAGAGAAUUAAGCUACAUUCUAAAAUAGUUAACAUCAUGGGCUUUGAGGACAGCAUCAAUCCUGAAAUCAAUUUCAAAAAUAAUGUCAAGUUGUAUGACCCAGGUCUAUAAUUACUUUGGGGGUAACGUUAGUUUUGGAUGUCAGGAAAGAAGAAAAUGAUUACCAUUUGUUUUUGAAAAUCUAGGCUUUGAGAGAAUUAUAGGUGAUUAAACAAGACUUUGAACAACAUGAAGAUGUUGGCGUCAGGGAGAGAAGGGAUGUGGUGGGCAUAGUGCAAAUAGGAAGAAGAAAGUCCAAGUAGAAAGAAGACAUAAAACUGGAAGAAGACAGGAAUUUGUUUAAUUUGAGGCCACAGGGCUCAGUAUUUAAACAGAAUCCUGAUCCAUGAGGCACGGCCCAGGAAUCAGUUCACUGAAAAUAAUCUAACUUUAAAAAACUAUAUACGUCUUGACCGUUUAGUUAGUUUUUAAAAUGUAGAUUGAAUAGAAAGGAGAAUGAAGGAGAGCCUAAGGUUUCCAGUGUCGACUUCAAAAUAUGCACAACCUAAGUUGAGAGUGACGUUUUAUUUGGGGCAAAAUGAGGACUCUAGCGCGGGAGGCAACAUUUCAGAAAAAAAUGCUCCAGAGAGUAGGGGGCAGGUCAGUGUAGAUGUGAUUUUGCUGAAGCCAGGGAGGCACAUGCAAUCAAGCACACAUUUUGCAGAAGGUCGCUGCUGAUCUUGUGAAGGUUCCAAUCAAGCACACAUUUUGCAGAAGGUCGCUGCUGGUCUCGUGAAGGUUCCUGCUGGUCAUGAGAAGACAUCACCAUGAAGGAUUUUAGUACUUUCCUAGAUACAAGGAGAUGCAAGAAUUGGGCUCAUAAAAACUUCUCCUGAAAAUAUCUAACUAUCAGAAGACCUGUUCUGCCAGUUUUCCCAGAGCACAGAGUGCCUCCCUUCAGGGGUGUGGCAGGUUGGCAGCUUCAGUGGCUCAUGAUGCAGUCCUGGCAGAGGCAGAUGGCAAGUUUAAUCUCCCAUUCACGACAGGGUUAGAAAAGUAUUAUUGGGAGGGUUGCAUGUUGAGUAUGGUUUUGAACCACCAUGGACACCCUGAAGAGGAGACAAGAGUCUUUUUUCAAAGUAUCAUUUCAACUGAUUAUUAAUGAAAAUAAAGUGCCAGAAGUAUAAGAAUAUGCUUUUCACCCCUUAGCUCUAAAGCUAACUCAUUAAAAAUGUCUCUUGCACCAUUUAUUUAUUGAAUAAAAAGAAAUAGUUUAAAAAGCUAUUGCAAUAGUGAGAUUGUCAGUGAAUCUGUGAAGAGAUUCUUUUUUUUUUUUUGCUUUUUAGGGCUGCACAUGUGGUACAUGGAAGCUCCCAGGCUAGAGGCUGAAUUGGAGCUACAGCUGCUGGCCUACGCCACAGCCACAGCAACCGCCAAGUGCGAGCUGCAUCUGAGAACUACACCAUAGCUCACAGCUGCAGCCCACAACAACACUGGAUCCUUAACCCACUGAGCAAGGCCAGGGAUGGGGAUCCAGCCCGAGUCCUCAUGGCUGCUAAUCGGGUUCCUUACCCCUGUGCCACAAUGGGAACUCCAGGGAAGUGAUUCUUAGUAGAUAAAAAUCAACCUAAUGGGUCUGAUAAGCACCACUAAGGCUCAUCAUUUUUCUUGUUUGACUACUGAGUCUUAACCUGUUAAUACUAGGGUGCUGUUGAGAUUCUUAGUACUAGGAUAGAAAAGAGAAAAAAAAAUUCUUCCCAAAUACUUACAGUCCACAUAGGGGACUAUGCAUCUGUGAAAUUAAUUUUGCAAAGAAACGUUGCCAAAUAAUGCAGAAAAUCUGCUUCAGCUCUAUCUGCACUCCAAAGUCAGUCCGUUUGCUAAACCCUGGGAGAGCAGGGUUUUUCCUCAUUGAAGCAAGUGGGAGUGGAUGAAGCUCUGCUUGUGAAAGCCAGAUGGUGCGGAGUUCUUUAAAAAAGGUUGGGAAUGGAACCAUCUUCUGAAGGAUGAAAGUGUGUAAACGCCACACAUAAGUGUUCUCUCUUGUUCCGGUUUGAUUUUUCUCAACGUGAAGCUUUCUGUCUUCCGCCAGAAGCCAGAAAUCUUGGAAGGGGAACAAAGCAGAAAAAGUUGCCACCGUCCCGCCAGUAGCCUGGUGAGCUGGACCGGGGCCUCGGAAUUCCAGGCUGGAUGAACCCGUGGUUGGGCUGCUCCUUCAAGUCUCCUAAAAUUGUUUACUUCAUUGUAAUUCACUUCUGUAAGGUUUUUAAAAUUGAGAUUUCCCCAUAUAGACAUCUCUUAUGUUUUAUUGCCUUGAUGAUGAGCGGAGAUUAGCUUUGCAUUUGCAAAAUUAAAUUACUUUCCCAAAGUAUUUCUUAAUUUUCAUGCAGAUGCCACUGAAAAUUCCAAGAGAGGGAAAAGUUGUUAGCUGCACUUUAAAUACCAGAAAAAUCUCUGUGUGGGAAGGAGAGGGGAAAAGGGUGAAAUUACUUUUAUUUUGAAAUUGAGCAUAGGGUAUUCAUGCUGCAGCACACACAUCUGGAGAAUAAGUACCUAAGGGGAAAACACGUGCAGAGUUCAAAUUUUGAACGUUUUAGUGUCCAACUUUUGGAUCAGUAUCAUCUACCAAGGAAAAAGGAAAGGAAUUAAAAAGGAGGGGUGAACAGCUGCAUUACCAGGAGAACAGGAUCCUGGGCUCUUCUCAAAUUUGUCUCUGAGAAUGGGACUGCCCCCAGUUUUAUAGGUGGGUCUGAAUCUGUCAUGAUAGUACGUCCCGGAUGUCCUUCCAAUUCCAUCCCCCUGCCCAUUUCCAAAUCAACACAGUCCAGGAAUUCCAGAAUGUUUUGCCCUGAUGUGAUACUUUUGGGGGCAAGAUAAACGUUUCCCUUUCCCCUGUUAGGUGCAGUGACUGGAGCCUGUGAAUUAAAUUGAGAAAAGAUGAACAGAAAAAAAGGCUUAUUUAUAUGCCCACAAGAACCAACAAAAGAAAUAGCUUGCUGGUUAAAUGGUUAAAGUUAAGUGUUCCUGUUGUGGCACAGUGGAAACGAAUCCCACUAAUAUCCGUGAGGAAGCGGGUUCCAUCCCUGGCCUCGAUCAGUGGGUUAUGGAUCUGGCAUUGCUGUGAACUGUGGUGUAGGUCACAGAUGCGGCUUGGAUCCCGCAUUGCUGUGGCUGUGGUGUAGGCUGGCAGCUGCAGCUCAGAUUCAACCCCUAGUCUGGGAACCUCCAUAUGCC
rnacentral:lncRNA from 1 species